GUUCUGAUCAGCCACAACAUUAAAACACACCGUCAGGUUAAGCAAAUAGCAUUGAUUAUAUUGUUACAAUGUUAUCUGUCAAGGGGUGGGAUAUAUUAGGCAGCAAGUGAACGGUCAGUUUUUGAAUUUCAUGUGGUGGAAGCAGAAAAAAAUAGGCAAGCGAAAAGAUCGGAAGGACAAGGGCCAAAUAGUUAUAUAGUGAUGGGUAGAUGACUGGGUCAGAGCAUCUCCAAAAUGACAAGUCUUAUGGGGUGUUCCCAGUAUGCAGUUGUAAAUACAUACUAAAAGUGGUGCAAGGAAGGAUAACCAGUGUCCGGUUAAUGCACCCAAAGCUCAUUGAUGCACGUGGGGAGCGAACGCUAGCUCGUCUGGUCUGAUCACACAGAAGAACUACUGUAGCUCAAAUUGCUGAACAACUUAAUGAUGGCCAUGGUAGAAAGGAGUCAGAACACACAGUGUAUUGCAGUUUGCAGUGUAUGGGGCUGCAUAGCCACAGACCAGCCAGAGAGUCCAUG